rnacentral:rRNA from 12 species
GGGUUGUGAGGUUAAGCGACUAAGCGUACACGGUGGAUGCCCUGGCAGUCAGAGGCGAUGAAGGGCGUGCUAAUCUGCGAUAAGCGCCGGUAAGGUGAUAUGAACCGUUAUAACCGGCGAUACCCGAAUGGGGAAACCCAGUGUGAUUCGUCACACUAUCAUUAACUGAAUCCAUAGGUUAAUGAGGCGAACCGGGGGAACUGAAACAUCUAAGUACCCCGAGGAAAAGAAAUCAACCGAGAUUCCCCCAGUAGCGGCGAGCGAACGGGGAGGAGCCCAGAGCCUGAAUCAGCAUGUGUGUUAGUGGAAGCGUCUGGAAAGGCGCGCGAUACAGGGUGACAGCCCCGUACACAAAAGCGCAUGUGCUGUGAGCUCGAUGAGUAGGGCGGGACACGUGGUAUCCUGUCUGAAUAUGGGGGGACCAUCCUCCAAGGCUAAAUACUCCUGACUGACCGAUAGUGAACCAGUACCGUGAGGGAAAGGCGAAAAGAACCCCGGCGAGGGGAGUGAAAAAGAACCUGAAACCGUGUACGUACAAGCAGUGGGAGCACAGGUUUACCUGUGUGACUGCGUACCUUUUGUAUAAUGGGUCAGCGACUUAUAUUCUGUAGCAAGGUUAACCGAAUAGGGGAGCCGGAGGGAAACCGAGUCUUAAUUGGGCGUUAAGUUGCAGGGUAUAGACCCGAAACCCGGUGAUCUAGCCAUGGGCAGGUUGAAGGUUGGGUAACACUAACUGGAGGACCGAACCGACUAAUGUUGAAAAAUUAGCGGAUGACCUGUGGCUGGGGGUGAAAGGCCAAUCAAACCGGGAGAUAGCUGGUUCUCCCCGAAAGCUAUUUAGGUAGCGCCUCGUGAAUUCAUCUCCGGGGGUAGAGCACUGUUUCGGCUAGGGGGCCAUCCCGGCUUACCAACCCGAUGCAAACUGCGAAUACCGGAGAAUGUUAUCACGGGAGACACACGGCGGGUGCUAACGUCCGUCGUGAAGAGGGAAACAACCCAGACCGCCAGCUAAGGUCCCAAAGUCAUGGUUAAGUGGGAAACGAUGUGGGAAGGCCCAGACAGCCAGGAUGUUGGCUUAGAAGCAGCCAUCAUUUAAAGAAAGCGUAAUAGCUCACUGGUCGAGUCGGCCUGCGCGGAAGAUGUAACGGGGCUAAACCAUGCACCGAAGCUGCGGCAGCGA